rnacentral:rRNA from 1 species
AUACGGAGGGUGCAAGCGUUGUCCGGAUUUAUUGGGUUUAAAGGGUGCGUAGGCGGCUUGAUAAGUCCGUGGUGAAAGCCAACAGCUCAACUGUUGAACUGCCAUGGAUACUGUCGGGCUUGAGUACAGACGAGGUAGGCGGAAUGGAUGGUGUAGCGGUGAAAUGCAUAGAUACCAUCCAGAACACCGAUUGCGUAGGCAGCUUACUAGGCUGUAACUGACGCUGAGGCGUGAAAGCGUGGGGAGCGAACAGGA